CAGUAGCCGCGGGAAUACGAAGGGUGCAAGCGUUAAUCGGAAUUACUGGGCGUAAAGCGUGCGCAGGCGGUUGUGUAAGACAGGUGUGAAAUCCCCGGGCUUAACCUGGGAACUGCGCUUGUGACUGCACAGCUAGAGUAUGGCAGAGGGGGGUGGAAUUCCACGUGUAGCAGUGAAAUGCGUAGAGAUGUGGAGGAACACCGGUGGCGAAGGCAGCCCCCUGGGCCAAUACUGACGCUCAUGCACGAAAGCGUGGGGAGCAAACAGGAUUAGAUACCCGCGUAGUCCCUGUCUCUUAUAA
rnacentral:rRNA from 1 species